rnacentral:rRNA from 1 species
AUGAUCCUGGUGGCGGUCAUGGCGGAGCUGCUGGAGGAGUACACGGCGGCGGUGGCGCGCGCCCUGGAGCGGCUGCUGUCCGCGGCGCCGCUGCGCAUCCUGCCGCGCCGCGUGCGGUUCGUCGUCCUCCGCCCCCUCCCCUUCGCCUCCCCCUCGGCGCCCGUGCCGCCGCCGCCCCCGCACGCCGUCCCCGUUCUGCUCGCGCGCUGA